GAUGAACGCUAGCGGCAGGCCUAAUACAUGCAAGCCGAACGGCAAGAACUUUAGCAAUAGAGUUCCUAGAGUGGCGUAAGGGUGCGUAACACGUAUGCAAUCUGCCCUCAACAGGAGGAUAGCUCCCCGAAAGGGGAAUUAAGACUCCAUAAGAUCAUUUUAUGGCAUCAUGAGAUGAUUAAACUACCAGGGGUUGAGGAUGAGCAUGCGCAUGAUUAGUUAGUUGGCGGGGUAGCGGCCCACCAAGACGAUGAUCAUUAGGGGAACUGAGAGGUUGA
rnacentral:rRNA from 1 species